AGUCUGCAACUCGACUGCACGAAGCUGGAAUCGCUAGUAAUCGCGGAUCAGCACGCCGCGGUGAAUACGUUCCCGGGCCUUGUACACACCGCCCGUCACACCAUGGAAGUCUGCAAUGCCCGAAGCCGGUGGCCUAACCACUUAUGGUGGAAGGAGCCGUCUAAGGCAGGGCAGAUGACUGGGGUGAAGUCGUAACAAGGUACC
rnacentral:rRNA from 1 species